rnacentral:rRNA from 1 species
UACGUAGGGAGCAAGCGUUGUCCGGAAUCAUUGGGCGUAAAGCGCGCGUAGGUGGCCUCAUAAGUCCGCUGUGAAAGUCAAAGGCUCAACCUUUGAAAGCCGGUGGAUACUGUGAGGCUAGAGUACGGAAGAGGCGAGUGGAAUUCCUGGUGUAGCGGUGGAAUGCGCAGAUAUCAGGAGGAACACCUAUGGCGAAGGCAGCUCGCUGGGACGGCACUGACGCUGAGACGCGAAAGCGUGGGGAGCAAACAGG